GUUCAAGGGCCCCUCCGAGCUGUGCCGCACGCGGGGCUCGGGCCGCCAGCAGGGCCAAAAAGGGAAGCGAGGCCGUCAAUCACGGCCGCCCGCCCGCCCGCUCCUCGCGGCGUAACCUCGGCCGCUUGCGAAUCGCGAAUCGGGCAGGUGGGAGGCACCUGCGGCCGGGCCCGGGAAGCCGCGGCCCGAAGUUCGCUGUGUGGAACGCCGGCCAGCGCAGGCCCGGCUGGCCGUCUCGGCCGCGCGAGCCCUCGAGGUAGCCCCGCGUGGGGCCGCGCGGCGGGGCCGGGCCCGGGGCUCCGUCAACUCGGCGGCCCCCCUAGCCCGCCCCCGGCGCCGCCACUCACCGAAGAAGCCCUGCACGAUCCCCAGCGGGUGGCUGAGCCAAUCCUCCCCACAGGGCAUCUCGCAGACGGGCCGGAGCCGGCGCGGCCCGGCGUCCCGAGCCGCUGCUCCUCUUCGCUGGCUCGGCCGCUUCUCGCCCGCGCCCUCCCACGCAGGGCACUGCGGAGGGACUAGUUCCUGAUUGAGAGGCAAGUUCAUAACUGUGAAAACAUACCUUGGCCUGUGUCUGCCUAGAAGCUGGAAACAGCCGAGGAGCUUUGGCGAGGUUCCUACAGGACGUGUGUGUCAGGACACGCUCAGAAUGAAGACGGUGGCAUCACCACACACAAAAGAUCAAGUCAACAGUAACCUUUGAAUGAGGAAAUUUGGGAAAUAUGCAAGUUCUGUAAUGAAACAGCCCCUAGGCCUGGAAUAUAUCUGAGAAAUCCCAGUCUUAUCAGCUGAAAUACGGCGUAUUAACGGAAGGAUCUGAAUGGAGUCUAGAAAGUGGGGAGCUGGAGAACCUGAACUCAGGUCUCAAGCCCUCCUUAGGGCAAAAGGGGUUAUUUUGUAUUUGUCACCGUGAACUGAUUACAUUCUGCACCCGGUAUCCAGGGGUCAAGGUUGUUUGAAUCCGCAGAUGUAGAAACUGCAGGUAUAGAGGGCCGGUCACCCAGGGCCACUGUUCUAUGCCAUUUUAUAUAAGGGACUUGAGCAUCCGCAGGUAUCCGUGGGGUCCUGGAACCAACUCCUUGCAACUAAUACCCAGGGAUAACUAUGACUGGCGUAGUAUAUCAUACAUCUGGCUCUGAUGAGUUUGGGGGAGCUGUUUCAAAUUUUUGGCAUUACCACCACUUUGUUCAUUCAUUCAUUGAACAGAGGGGGUUGCCAAGUCCCUGGUAUUGAAUGGAGAAACCCCCUCUUUAGCUUUGUGGCCAGUAAUACACAAAUUAAAUAUAUGUCAUGAA